UCCUCUAGCUAGGCAGGGUGACCAGAGAGGGCAGACAGCAGUCCUCUGUCCCAGAGUCUUCCCUGGUAGAUGCAGGUUCCAUAGCGACGUUCUCCUGCAAUGCACGCUGGUAUUCUGCAAUAGCAGGCCAUAGUCUUCCCUGGUAGAUGCAGGUUCCAUAGCGACGUUCUCCUGCAAUGCACGCUGGUAUUCUGCAAUAGCAGUCCAUGUUUUUCCUUGAGCCUGGGACAGGGAGAGCAUGAGAAAUUGAGUAU
rnacentral:lncRNA from 1 species